UUCGGUUGAUCCUGCCGGACCUGACUGCUAUCGUGAUUGGUACUAAGCCAUGCGAGUCGUUGUACAAUACAAUGCGGACUGCUCAGUAACACGUAGUUAACUUAACCUAUGGAUGGGAAUAACCUCGGGAAACUGAGAAUAAUACCCAAUGGGCCACAGUGCCUGUAAUGGCCUGUGGUUGAAAUGAUUUAUCGCCGUAUGAUAGGACUGCGGUCUAUCAGCUUGUUGGUGAGGUAAUGGCCCACCAAGGCUAUAACAGGUACGGGCUCUGAGAGGAUGGGCCCGGAGAUGGGUACUGAGACACGGACCCAGGCCCUAUGGGGCGCAGCAGGCGAGAAACCUUUGCAAUGUGCGAAAGCACGACAAGGUUAAUCCAAGUGUCUCCUGCUAAAGGAGUCUUUUGUCAGUUGUAGAAUCACUGGUGAAUAAAGGGUGGGCAAGUUCUGGUGUCAGGCGGCGCGGUGAAAACCAGCACCUCGAGUGGUCAGGAGGUUCAUUGGGCCUAAAGCUUCCGUAGCCGGUUGCAUAAGUGUUCGGUUUGGAUCUAUGCGCUUAACGUAU
rnacentral:rRNA from 1 species